rnacentral:rRNA from 1 species
UACGAAGGGUGCUAGCGUUGUUCGGAAUUACUGGGCGUAAAGCGUGCGUAGGUUGUUAUUCAAGUUAGUGGUGAAAGCCCGGAGCUUAACUCCGGAAUUGCCAUUAAAACUGGGUAGCUAGAGAGUGUUAGAGGUGAGUGGAAUUUCUAGUGUAGGAGUGAAAUCCGUAGAUAUUAGAAGGAACAUCAAUGGCGAAGGCAGCUCACUGGGUCACAUCUGACACUGAGGCACGAAAGCGUGGGUAGCAAAC